UACGUAGGGUGCGAGCGUUGUCCGGAAUUACUGGGCGUAAAGAGCUCGUAGGUGGUUUGUCGCGUUGUUCGUGAAAACUCACAGCUCAACUGUGGGCGUGCGGGCGAUACGGGCAGACUAGAGUACUGCAGGGGAGACUGGAAUUCCUGGUGUAGCGGUGGAAUGCGCAGAUAUCAGGAGGAACACCGGUGGCGAAGGCGGGUCUCUGGGUAGUAACUGACGCUGAGGAGCGAAAGCGUGGGGAGCAAACAGG
rnacentral:rRNA from 1 species